GUCAUGGGUUUGGACGGUGCUGUUGAAGGAUCCUUGGUGAAUUCCUGCAGUACAUCUUAUUAACACCAUUGAGGAAUAAUAUCUUCAUCGUCAUACGGGGGUUCAUAACCAUGAGGAAAAGGCCCCUGGCGGGGUAAACUUUCUCUCCCCACCAGUGAGCUUCUCUAAAAAUUGCUCGAACUUU